rnacentral:ncRNA from 1 species
GUCAAUCCUCCCCGCCCUAAAGGGCGAAGCUUGUGCCCCAAGCUCGGUUGACCAGACCAUGCGCGAGCAAUCGCGCGACGUGUGAUACCAGUGCGCACUUUUGCGUACGUUUUUGAGAGCAGCCGAUAUGCGCAUCAUCCAAGAAGACGAACUCAAGAUUCCUGG